AUUGAACGCUGGCGGCAUGCCUUACACAUGCAAGUCGAACGGUAACAGGUCUUCGGAUGCUGACGAGUGGCGAACGGGUGCGUAAUACAUCGGAACGUGCCUAGUAGUGGGGGAUAACUACUCGAAAGAGUGGCUAAUACCGCAUGAGAUCUACGGAUGAAAGCAGGGGAUCGCAAGACCUUGUGCUACUAGAGCGGCCGAUGGCAGAUUAGGUAGUUGGUGGGAUAAAAGCUUACCAAGCCGACGAUCUGUAGCUGGUCUGAGAGGACGAUCAGCCACACUGGGACUGAGACACGGCCCAGACUCCUACGGGAGGCAGCAGUGGGGAAUUUUGGACAAUGGGCGCAAGCCUGAUCCAGCAAUGCCGCGUGCAGGAUGAAGGCCUUCGGGUUGUAAACUGCUUUUGUACGGAACGAAAAGCCCUGGGUUAAUACCCUGGGGUCAUGACGGUACCGUAAGAAUAAGUACCGGCUAACUACGUGACAGCCGCCGCUGUAACAC
rnacentral:rRNA from 1 species